rnacentral:rRNA from 1 species
ACUCAAAUGAAUUGACGGGGGCCCGCACAAGCGGUGGAGCAUGUGGUUUAAUUCGAUGCAACGCGAAGAACCUUACCUACUCUUGACAUGUGAGGAAUCAUUAUGAAAGUAAUGAGUGCCGAAAGGAGCCUCAGCACAGGUGCUGCAUGGCUGUCGUCAGCUCGUGUCGUGAGAUGUUGGGUUAAGUCCCAUAACGAGCGCAACCCCUAUUUCUAAUUGCCAGCACGUAAAGGUGGGGACUUUAGAGAGACUGCCGGUGUUAAACCGGAGGAAGGUGGGGAUGAUGUCAAGUCAUCAUGGCCUUUAUGAGUAGGGCUACACACGUGCUACAAUGGUGCGUACAAAAGGAAGCGAAGCUGUGAAGUGGAGCGAAACCUGAAAAGCGCAUCGUAGUCCGGAUUGGAGUCUGCAACUCGACUCCAUGAAGCUGGAAUCGCUAGUAAUCGCAAAUGAGCAUGUUGCGGUGAAUACGUUCUCGGGCCUUGCACACACCGCCCGU